rnacentral:rRNA from 1 species
AUUGAACGCUGGCGGCAGGCCUAACACAUGCAAGUCGAGCGAGCGGCGGACGGGUGAGUAAUUUCUGUGAAACUGCCUGAUUGAUGGGGAUAACUACUGGAAACGGUAGCUCAUACCGCAUACCAUCAGAUGUUCCCAGAUGGGAUUAGCUAGGAGGUGGGGUAACGGCUCACCUAGGCGACGAUCCCUAGCUGGUCUGAGAGGAUGACCAGCAACAAUGGAACUGAGACACGGUCCAGACUCCUACGGGAGGCAGCAGUGGGGAAUAUUGCACAAUGGGCGCAAGCCGGAUGCAGCCAUGCCGCGUGUGUGAAGAAGGCCUUCGGGUUGUAAAGCACUUUCAGCGGGGAGGCGUUACCCGCAGAAGAAGCACCGGCUAACUCCGUGCCAGCAGCCGCGGUAAUUC